GAUGAACGCUAGCGGCAGGCUUAAUACAUGCAAGUCGAGGGGCAGCAUGACUGUAGCAAUACAGUUGAUGGCGACCGGCAAACGGGUGCGGAACACGUACAGAACCUUCCUUUAAGUGGUGAAUAGCCCAGAGAAAUUUGGAUUAAUACACCGUAACAUAUAGAGUUGGCAUCAAUUUUAUAUUAUAGCUCCGGCGCUUAAAGAUGGCUGGGCGGCUGAUUAGGUAGUUGGCGGGGUAACGGCCCACCAAGCCUACGAUCAGUAACUGGUGUGAGAGCACGACCAGUCACACGAGCACUGGGACACGGGCCCGACUCCUACGGGAGGCAGCAUUAAGGAAUAUUGGUCAAUGGACGCAAGUCCGAACCAGCCAUGCCGCGUGGAGGAUGAAGGUCCUCUGGAUUGUAAACUGCUUUGCUCUGGGGCGAAAACCUCCCAUUCUUGGGAGCUUGACAGUACCAGAGGAAUAAGCACCGGCUAACUCCGUGCCAGCCGCCGCGGUAAAAC
rnacentral:rRNA from 1 species